rnacentral:lncRNA from 1 species
GGUGCAUCUUGCUUAUGAAGCACAAGUUCGAAUCUAUUGAAAUAUUCAAAUGAUUUCAUAAUGAGGUAGAAAAAUAAACUGUAAAAAGUAUUAGAACUCAUUAGUUAGACUGAUGAAGUGAAUACCUUUACAGUAAGUUUUGACAUAUCUAGGAGAGAAUUUGAUUCUCUCUUAAUGGACUUCUCCAGGGAUACCACUAUUUAAAAGGGUGUCUGAAAAGAAAAAUCGAACUUUGUUAGACAUGGUUCGAUCCAUUGUGGGUUUGCUGGUCUGCCUGAGGUU